rnacentral:rRNA from 1 species
GAUGAACGCUGGCGGCGUGCUUAACACAUGCAAGUCGAACGGAAAGGCCCAAGCUUGCUUGGGUACUCGAGUGGCGAACGGGUGAGUAACACGUGGGUGAUCUGCCCUGCACUUCGGGAUAAGCCUGGGAAACUGGGUCUAAUACCGGAUAGGACCACAUUUUGGAUGGUGUGGUGGAAAGUUUUUCGGUGUGGGAUGAGCUCGCGGCCUAUCAGCUUGUUGGUGGGGUAAUGGCCUACCAAGGCGUCGACGGGUAGCCGGCCUGAGAGGGUGUACGGCCACAGUGGGACUGAGAUGAGGCCCAGACUCCUACGGGAGGGAGAAGGGGGGAAGAUUGAACAAUGGGCGCAAGCCGGAUGCAGAGACGCCGCGUGGGGGAUGACGGCCUUCGGGUUGAAAACGCCUUUCGCUAGGGACGAAGCGUUAUGUGACGGUACCUGGAGAAGAAGCACCGGCUAACUACGUG